GACAGAGGGUGCAAACGUUUGUUCGGAAUUACUGGGCGUAAAGCGCGUGUAGGCGGCCCUGCAAGUCGGGUGUGAAAUCCCACGGCUCAACCGUGGAAGUGCACUCGAAACUGCAGGGCUAGAGUCCUGGAGAGGAAGGUGGAAUGCUUGGUGUAGAGGUGAAAUUCGUAGAUAUCAAGCGGAACACCGGUGGCGAAGGCGGCCUUCUGGACAGUGACGUGACGCUGAGACGCGAAAGCGUGGGGAGCAAACAGGG
rnacentral:rRNA from 1 species